UACGGAGGGUGCAAGCGUUAUCCGGAUUCACUGGGUUUAAAGGGUGCGUAGGCGGGCAGGUAAGUCCGUGGUGAAAUCUCUGAGCUUAACUCAGAAACUGCCAUGGAUACUAUUUGUCUUGAAUGUUGUGGAGGUAAGCGGAAUAUGUCAUGUAGCGGUGAAAUGCUUAGAUAUGACAUAGAACACCAAUUGCGAAGGCAGCUUACUACACAAAUAUUGACGCUGAGGCACGAAAGCGUGGGGAGCAAACAGG
rnacentral:rRNA from 1 species